rnacentral:tRNA from 2 species
GGGGAUGUAGCUCAGUUGGAUAGAGCAUCGGUCUCCAAAACCGAAGGCCGCAGGUUCGAGCCCUGCCAGCCCCG